GUACUUACCUGGCAGAGGAGAUACCAUGAUCAUGAAGGUGGUUUUCCCAGGGCGAGGCUUAUCCAUUGCAUUGCUGACCCCUGCCAUUUCCCCAAAUACAGGAAACUUGAUUGCAUUAUUUGUAGUAGUAAAGGAUUGUGUUUGCGCUCUCCCCUG